UGGGGAAUUUUGGACAAUGGGGGAAACCCUGAUCCAGCCAUCCCGCGUGUGCGAUGAAGGCCUUCGGGUUGUAAAGCACUUUUGGCAGGAAAGAAACGUCAUGGGUUAAUACCCCGUGAAACUGACGGUACCUGCAGAAUAAGCACCGGCUAACUACGUGCCAGCAGCCGCGGUAAUACGUAGGGUGCAAGCGUUAAUCGGAAUUACUGGGCGUAAAGCGUGCGCAGGCGGUGCGGAACGAAAGAUGUGAAAUCCCAGAGCUCAACUUUGGAACUGCAUUUUUAACUACCGGGCUAGGGUGUGUCAGAGGGAGGUGGAAUUCCGCGUGUAGCAGUGAAAUGCGAAGAUAUGCGGAGGAACACCGAUGGCGAAGGCAGCCUCCUGGGAUAACACUGACGCUCAUGCACGAAGGCGUGGGGAGCAAACAGG
rnacentral:rRNA from 1 species